GUUUUUAAAACACAUACAAAAAUUCAGAGAGAUGGUACAAAAAUAAAACAUAAGUAGGCCUGUCCAAAGAGAGUGACCAUACAGUCCUAGAAUAGGAAUUGGGGAGCCUUUGGAUCCCUAUGUGUCUAGUUGAUUGGUUUUCCUCAUCUAAGUUUAUCCAUUUAUUGAGUUACAAUGACCUUCAGCCUAAGUCAAGUGAAAAAUGUCCCACUCAGGCUUUGUGAUUUGAAAUGCUAUUUUGAAAAAGUUUAACACAGAUUCUUGGUAAAAAUACAAGGUUGAUACUCUGGUUUCAGAUUACAUAAAUCUUUUGCCUUUUCCUAAAGAUUUCCAUGGAGAAGUACAGAAAUGAGUUUUUACCCAAUUUUUGAGGCCUUGUUUUUAUGAUGCUACCUUAAAAAAAAUACAAGGUUGAAUGUCACCGAAGGGACAUGGUUUGAUUUCAUUCUUCAUGUAUAAAAUCGGAAGUGAACCCACUUACAGGUGGAUUAAAGCAUUGUGCCAUUUAGUGCAACAGAGAACUCUGGGAUAGCUUUUAAUAAGACAUUUGUAGGACUUUAUUGAAAAAUAUGCUUUUAAUUUUUUUUGCCACUUGUUCCAUUUUUUAAGAUUUAUUAAUACUAAUAAACCAGACAUUUUAUGCCUCAA